GGGUACCGUCAGGCCUGACGUGUAUUAUACGUUAGGAGGUUCUUCCCCUCUGACAGAGCUUUACGACCCAAGAGCCUUCAUCACUCACGCGGUAUUGCUGCGUCAGGCUUUCGCCCAUUGCGCAAAAUUCCCC
rnacentral:rRNA from 1 species